AGGCCUUAAAAAUGAAAGCUUGUGGUGAGGGUUGGGCUGGGAUCAUCGUUGAAAGAAUCAGAAUAAACUGGAUCCCAAGGUUGAAGAAACAGUCUUUGGAAUUUAAAGCCUAUCUUGAACCAAACAUUUGAUUAGUCACUACAAAAACUGUUGAUGUAUAUCGUUCAUCAAAGAGUUUUAUAUGACCACUUGUUUUCAAGGCACAAAAUAUGGCAGAUCCUUACAUUCAGGAAGCUAAGAAAUAUACCGAGCCAUACAUUGAUCGGGUUGCAAUGGUGACAAAAACACAUUUAGAUAAAUUACAAGAAAGAAAAUGCCAAAGCAGUUCUCCUUGUUGCAAGCCAGGUGAGACAUAUGUACAUCUAUCCUCUCAAAACCUUGCACAUUUCUUUUUCUUUCUGAAGUCUACUUUCUCUAACCACUAUGAAAUAUGUUUGCCCUCCAACUCAUGAACUUCCCAUCCUUGGUGAAAAUGUGACUUGGUCUGCGAUCUCUU